GACGAACGCUGGCGGCGUGCCUAACACAUGCAAGUCGAACGGGGAGUUAGCAAUAACUCCUAGUGGCGAACGGGUGAGUAACGCGUAGACAACCUGCCUCUAAACUGGGGACAACACCGCGAAAGUGGUGCUAAUACCGAAUGUGGUAUCUUGAUCGCAUGAUUGAGAUAAGAAAGAUGGCCUCUACAUGUAAGCUAUCGAUUAGAGAUGGGUCUGCGUCUGAUUAGCUAGUUGGUGAGGUAACGGCUCACCAAGGCAACGAUCAGUAGCCGGUCUGAGAGGAUGAACGGCCACACUGGGACUGAGACACGGCCCAGACUCCUACGGGAGGCAGCAGUGGGGAAUCUUCCGCAAUGGACGAAAGUCUGACGGAGCAACGCCGCGUGAGUGAAGAAGGUCUUCGGAUUGUAAAGCUCUGUCGUUUGGGACGAACGUAUCCUGUGUGAAUAAUGCGGGAUAAUGACGGUACCAAAGGAGGAAGCCACGGCUAACUACGUGCCAGCCGCCGCCGUAAAAC
rnacentral:rRNA from 1 species